GGGAAGCAACGGAACUGAGCACUACAAGGGACAGAAGAUGAAAUAAUCCAAGCACCUGAAAUAAAAACCUUCAGCUGAGAAAAAGAGGCAGCUGCUGCAGAGUUAACAAGAAAGCCAAGAUCUCUGCUGAGACCAUCUAAAUAUAUAUCAGGCCUUAAAAUAAAAGAACACAAGCUAAUGCUCACCACUGCAGGGAUGGCCGUCUUCUUUCUCCUACUCAAAACCAAAUGGUUAAAUAUGCCCAAAUGCACAUUCAGGGGUCGCUCAUGCUGCC